AUUGAACGCUGGCGGAAUGCUUUACACAUGCAAGUCGAGCGGCAGCGCGGGGCAACCUGGCGGCGAGCGGCGAACGGGUGAGUAAUGCAUCGGAACAUGUCCAUGUCGUGGGGGAUAGCCCGGCGAAAGCCGGAUUAAUACCGCAUACGCCCGGGAGGGGAAAGCAGGGGACCGAAAGGCCUUGCGCGAUUGGGUUGGCCGAUGUCCGAUUAGCUUGUUGGUGAGGUAAAGGCUUACCAAGGCGUUGAUCGGUAGCUGGUCUGAGAGGAUGUUCAGCCACACUGGGACUGCGACACGGACCAGACUCCUACGGGGGGCAACAGUGGGAAAUUAUGGACAAUGGGGGCAACCCUGAUCCGGCCAUUCCGCGUGGGUGAAGGAGGCCUUCGGGUUGUAAAGCUCUUUUGUCAGGAGCGAAACGUUACGGGUGAAUAUCCCGUGCUACUGACGGUACCGGAAGAAUAAGCACCGGCUAACUACGUGCCAGCCGCCGCCGUAAUAC
rnacentral:rRNA from 1 species